UACGUAGGGGGCGAGCGUUGUCCGGAUUUAUUGGGCGUAAAAGGCUUGUAGGUGGCCACGCGAAGUCGGAUGUGAAAUCUCCCGGCUCAACUGGGAGGGGUCAUUCGAUACUGGCGGGCUCGAGGCCGGUAGGGGGAAGCGGAAUUCCCGGUGUAGUGGUGGAAUGCGUAGAUAUCGGGAGGAACACCAGUGGCGAAGGCGGCUCCUGGACCGGUUCGUGACACU
rnacentral:rRNA from 1 species